rnacentral:rRNA from 1 species
AACGAACGCUGGCGGCAUGCCUAACACAUGCAAGUCGAACGAGACCUUCGGGUCUAGUGGCGCACGGGUGCGUUACGCGUGGGAACCUGCCCUUAGGCUCGGAAUAACUCCCCGAAAGGGGUGCUAAUACCGGAUAAUGUCUUCGGACCAAAGAUUUAUCGCCUUUGGAUGGGCCCGCGUUGGAUUAGCUAGUUGGUAGGGUAAAAGCCUACCAAGGCGACGAUCCAUAGCUGGUCUGAGAGGAUGAUCAGCCACACUGGGACUGAGACACGGCCCAGACUCCUACGGGAGGCAGCAGUGGGGAAUAUUGGACAAUGGGCGAAAGCCUGAUCCAGCAAUGCCGCGUGAGUGAUGAAGGCCUUAGGGUUGUAAAGCUCUUUUACCCGGGAUGAUAAUGACAGUACCGGGAGAAUAAGCUCCGGCUAACUCCGUG